UACGUAGGGCGCGAGCGUUGUCCGGAAUUAUUGGGCGUAAAGAGCUCGUAGGCGGUUUGUCGCGUCUGCCGUGAAAGUCCGGGGCUCAACUCCGGAUCUGCGGUGGGUACGGGCAGACUAGAGUGCAGUAGGGGAGACUGGAAUUCCUGGUGUAGCGGUGAAAUGCGCAGAUAUCAGGAGGAACACCGAUGGCGAAGGCAGGUCUCUGGGCUGUAACUGACGCUGAGGAGCGAAAGCAUGGGGAGCGAACAGG
rnacentral:rRNA from 1 species